CCCCCGCCCUCUUCUUCUCCUCCUCGUCCUCCUCCUCCCACCACUCCCACUCAUGAGCUAACGUGAGCUCGAGCUAGCUACCUAGCUCCACUCCAGCCACCGGUUCCAUCUCCCCCCAAGGGCUGGGCACAGUAGCACGGCCAGCUACAUCUUCGAUCACUCACGAGUCACGACCAUGGACCGCAGGGACAGGCACCGCAAGAACUCGUCGUCCUCCUCGUCGUCCUCGUCC
rnacentral:lncRNA from 1 species